GACGAACGCUGGCGGCGUGCUUAACACAUGCAAGUCGAACGAUGAAGCGGUGCUUGCACCGUGGAUUAGUGGCGAACGGGUGAGUAAUACGUGAGUGACCUACCUUUGACUCUGGGAUGAGCCUGGGAAACUGGGUCUAAUACCGGAUACGACCAAUCUCUGCAUGGGGUGUUGGUGGAAAGCGUUAUGGAGUGGUUUUAGAUGGGCUCACGGCCUAUCAGCUUGUUGGUGAGGUAAUGGCUUACCAAGGCGACGACGGGUAGCCGGCCUGAGAGGGUGACCGGCCACACUGGGACUGAGACACGGCCCAGACUCCUACGGGAGGCAGCAGUGGGGAAUAUUGCACAAUGGGCGCAAGCCUGAUGCAGCGACGCCGCGUGAGGGAUGACGGCCUUCGGGUUGUAAACCUCUGUUAGCAUCGAAGAAGCGAAAGUGACGGUAGGUGCAGAGAAAGCGCCGGCUAACUACGUGCCAGCAGCCGCGGUAAUACGUAGGGCGCGAGCGUUGUCCGGAAUUAUUGGGCGUAAAGAGCUUGUAGGCGGUUGGUCGCGUCUGCUGUGAAGGCCGGGGCUUAACUCCGGUUUUGCAGUGGGUACGGGCUAACUAGAGUGCAGUAGGGGAGACUGGAAUUCCUGGUGUAGCGGUGGAAUGCACAGAUAUCAGGAGGAACACCGAUGGCGAAGGCAGGUCUCUGGGCUGUAACUGACGCUGAGAAGCGAAAGCAUGGGGAGCGAACAGGAUUAGAUACCCUGGUAGUCCAUGCCGUAAACGUUGGGCACUAGGUGUGGGGGACAUUCCACGUUUUCCGCGCCGUAGCUAACGCAUUAAGUGCCCCGCCUGGGGAGUACGGCCGCAAGGCUAAAACUCAAAGGAAUUGACGGGGGCCCGCACAAGCGGCGGAGCAUGCGGAUUAAUUCGAUGCAACGCGAAGAACCUUACCAAGGCUUGACAUGCAUUAGAUCGCGUCAGAGAUGGCGUUUCCCUUCGGGGCUGGUGUACAGGUGGUGCAUGGUUGUCGUCAGCUCGUGUCGUGAGAUGUUGGGUUAAGUCCCGCAACGAGCGCAACCCUCGUUCUAUGUUGCCAGCGGUUCGGCCGGGGACUCAUAGGAGACUGCCGGGGUCAACUCGGAGGAAGGUGGGGAUGACGUCAAAUCAUCAUGCCCCUUAUGUCUUGGGCUUCACGCAUGCUACAAUGGCCGGUACAGAGGGUUGCGAUACUGUGAGGUGGAGCUAAUCCCUUAAAGCCGGUCUCAGUUCGGAUUGGGGUCUGCAACUCGACCCCAUGAAGUCGGAGUCGCUAGUAAUCGCAGAUCAGCAACGCUGCGGUGAAUACGUUCCCGGGCCU
rnacentral:rRNA from 1 species